AUUCUACUCCCUCCGUUGCACAAUACAUGCCUUCUUUUUGUCAAAAUAUAUAUGUAUCUAGACAUGUUUUAGUAUAUAGGUACAUCCAUUUUUGGACAAAUGGAAGUCAAGUAUUUUGGAACGGAGGGAGUACACA
rfam:Triticum aestivum genome assembly, contig: Triticum_aestivum_CS42_TGACv1_scaffold_594584_7BS